ensembl:lncRNA
UUGAAGGUAUAGAAGCUCUCAGCAAUAUAUUUUAUUUUAGAAAUGUUUUGAGAUUGACACUGGUUACAUGUUGAGAAAGAGUCAUGUGACUGUCAUGUGUCCCUCCCCCCAGCUCCUAUUGGCUCAGUGGAAGUGUCAAUCAUCUGCUCCUCCAAUCAGACUACAGUGUUCUGCUACUCUGAGGGAGAUCUGAUCAUCUACAUCUGGACUCUGAAUGGAAAAAUACUAGAAGAAGGAAUAAUGUUUGGAAACAGCAGCAUUGAUCUGGAUGAGGGAACUGAUGGAAACAUCAGCUGCAGCGUGAAGAACAACGUCAGUCAUGCACAGAAGACCAUUGGACUCAAACCCUGUCCUGAAGGGAUACAGAGGAACUGGAACAAAGAAGUCAAAAGACAAAAGAAGACGGAGAAACGUUGAGGAAAGCAGGACAGAAUGUCAACUGAUGGAACAGCAGGAGAUGGUUUUUAGGAUAAGAAAAACAAUUCAACUUAUGUGAAAACAAGAGGAUUUGAAUAAGAAAAUUAUGAGAAUGCUGAAAAGAAAUGAUUGAGUUGGUUAACUUUAAUUUGGAGUUGCAAUCUAUCGCAAAUGAUAUCAGAACUUUGAGAUUGCAAACGUCAGCUACAAAACCUGAAAAGCCUUAAAAGGCAAUAAUGAGAUAUACUUUCUGUUAGAAUUUGAUCAACAGUUAAGAUUGCCAUCUAUGUAUGCUUUUUUGCCAACUGUAUGAUGAUUGUGCAAGGAAGUGCAUUUUGCAACAACGUUGCAGAAUGGACCUUCUUUCUUAAAGUGUUGUAUUGCAAUAUGUUUUAUCUUAUCAUAAAAAAAAUGAUGCUAUGCAGUUUAGAAAUAGUUCUUUGCUUAGACUAUGCCUUUAAGAUGUUGUAAUUGUUUAGAUUAAAACUAGAGAUAGAUUAAUUUGCUUUAAUGAAAAAGAUGCAGCAAAUACUUCAUCUGAAUUUGUACUAAUAGGUGAAGAAGAGGUUGCUUCUAGGUGAAGGGUCAUGCCCCUGUAUCCAUAGCAACCUGUGUAUGUGUGUGCGUGUGGGUGAGUGUGUUCACCGAAAAGGACAUCUGGAAAGGAAGACGUGUUGUUUUUGUGACUAUAAAAAGUUAUAGUUGGAACACAUGCACUGCCGCAAUUCGGGGUGAAGACUUACGCUAUUUACUUUUAUUGUCAUUUGCUUAUGAGUUAUUGUUUUAAUAAAGCGAAACCAUUUCCUAUGGUGAUGCGUUAA